GUGCUCGCUUUGACAGCACAUUAACUGCAGAUGAUGCAGAGAAGAUUAGUGUGGCCCCUGCACAAGGAUGACACGUAAAUUCGUGAAGCAUUCCAUAUUAAA